AACGAACGCUGGCGGCAGGCCUAACACAUGCAAGUCGAGCGCCCCGCAAGGGGAGCGGCAGACGGGUGAGUAACGCGUGGGAAUCUACCUCGUGGUACGGAAUAGCCCAGGGAAACUUGGAGUAAUACCGUAUGAGCCCGAAAGGGGAAAGAUUUAUCGCCAUGAGAUGAGCCCGCGUUGGAUUAGCUAGUUGGUGGGGUAAUGGCCCACCAAGGCGACGAUCCAUAGCUGGUCUGAGAGGAUGAUCAGCCACACUGGGACUGAGACACGGCCCAGACUCCUACGGGAGGCAGCAGUGGGGAAUAUUGGACAAUGGGCGCAAGCCUGAUCCAGCCAUGCCGCGUGAGUGACGAAGGUCUUCGGAUUGUAAAGCUCUUUUGGCGGGGACGAUAAUGACGGUACCCGCAGAAUAAGCCCCGGCUAACUUCGUGCCAGCCGCCGCUGUAAUAC
rnacentral:rRNA from 1 species